rnacentral:rRNA from 1 species
GAGACCGGCGGACGGGUGAGUAACACGUAGGUAAUUUACCUGAAGGGUUGGGGAUAGCCCAUGGAAACAUGGGGUAAUACCGAAGAUACGCCUUGUUUCACACAAGUGAGAUAAGGGAAAGGUGCUUAGGCACCGCCCCCGGAUGAGCCUGCGUCUCAUUAGUUAGUUGGUGGGGUAACGGCCUACCAAGGCAACGAUGAGUAGCCGGCCUGAGAGGGUGAACGGCCACACUGGGACAGAGACACGGCCCAGACUCCUACGGGAGGCAGCAGUGAGGAAUAUUGCGCAAUGGGCGAAAGCCUGACGCAGCGACGCCGCGUGGGUGAAGAAGGGCUAAUGCUCGUAAAACCCUUUUCUGUGUGACGAGGAAGGACGGUAGCACAGGAAUAAGUGUCGGCUAACUACGUGCCAGCAGCCGCGGUAAAACGUAGGACACAAGCGUUAUCCGGAAUUACUGGGCGUAAAGGGCGUGCAGGCGGCGCGGUAAGUGAGGCGUGAAAGCUCCCGGCUAAACCGGGAGAGGUCGUCUGAGACUGCCGUGCUAGAGUGUGGUAGAGGGGUGUAGAAUUCCGGGUGUAGUGGUGAAAUGCGUAGAGAUCCGGAGGAAUACCAGUGGCGAAGGCGGCACCCUGGACCACGACUGACGCUGAGACGCGAAAGCAUGGGGAGCGAACGGGAUUAGAAACCCCGGUAGUCCAUGCCGUAAACGAUGUGCACUAGGUGUUCUGGCCCUACGGGGUUGGAGUGCCGCAGCCAACGCGAUAAGUGCACCGCCUGGGGAGUACGGUCGCAAGGCUAAAACUCAAAGGAAUUGACGGGGGCCCGCACAAGCAGCGGAGCGUGUGGUUUAAUUCGAGGCUACGCGAAGAACCUUACCUGGGUUUGACAUAGCGGUGGUAGGGAAGCGAAAGUGGACCGACCUUCGGGAGCCGUUACAGGUGCUGCAUGGCUGUCGUCAGCUCGUGUCGUGAGAUGUUCGGUUAAGUCCGAAAACGAGCGCAACCCCUGGUGCUAGUUACAAGUGUCUAGCGCGACUGCCCGUGACAAACGGGAGGAAGGUGGGGAUGACGUCAAGUCAGCAUGGCCUUUAUAUCCAGGGCUACACACACGCUACAAUGGCCGGUACAGUAGGUAGCCAAGCCGCGAGGCGGAGCCAAUCCUCCAAAGCCGGUCCCAGUUCGGAUUGUAGGCUGCAACUCGCCUGCAUGAAGUUGGAGUUGCUAGUAACCGCAGGUCAGCAACACUGCGGUGAAUACGUUCCCGGGCAUUGUACACACCGCCCGUCACGUCAUGGGAGCUGGUCACGCAUGAAGUCGGGAAGCUAACCGCAAGGGGGCUACUGCCGA